rnacentral:tRNA from 1 species
GCAUUUUUAGCUCAGUUGGAUAGAGCAGUAGUUUUCUAAACUGAUAGUCAUAGGUUCGAAUCCUGUAAAGUGUA